GAUUUUUUUUUUUAAACCCUGUUUGCUCUCUGUGACAUCGCUCUCUGUGACAUCGCUCUCUGUGACAUUACCAACUGCCCUCUCAACUGACUCAACUGCUCAGAAGUUUCUGGUGGGAGCAAAAGGGGUUGAUUUCUGCCAUUCCUGGAGCCGUUUCUAUCCCUGAAUGAGAGAGAGGAACUGGGAGAGGAGCUGCUUCCUUCUCGUCUCUGUUUUCCUCUGCCGGGGUUAGCAGAAAGGUUGAUCUCCAGAUGAUGCAGUUAAAGGCUUCAAGGACACCAGCAGGCCUUUCUCUCCUGGGCGCCUUCAGCAUCGAGCCAGCUGCAGGAUAAAGAUCAUGAUGGAAGGCAAAGGGGCUUCUCUUCUGUGCUGUGAACCAUUUCAUCAAGUGGCCUGAUCUCCACUUGGCCUAGCAGCCUUCCCUGAGCUGGGCCUGUGCUGUGAGUUGCUGACUGAACAUUGCAUAACCUAGUGAAGGCAGGACACUGGGACUGUUGGGAGGAAACUAAAGAGGCUUUGGAAAUACUUAAGGAACAAGAAGUAAAAGUGCUGAGGAGGAAGAGUGGCAAUCGGAAAAGAAUGAAGGCAAGGAAAGCAAUGGCGAAUCCUGAGAGUGGCGUCUUCUAAUUCAUACUACAGUCCUAUAAGUGUUGAACCUCUUGAAUGUGUCUUCGCAGAAGAUGGAGAGGUAAGUCUGACUCCUGCCACAUCCAGAGGCCGGACUCUCGGAGCUACACAGGAAAAGGCAGCAUUCCACAGAUAUCAAAGGUGUUGAAAAAGGAGCAUAUUUCCCCUCUGUUGCUGCUGAGGGCAGCACUGAAGGGCUGCCAAUACGAGGACGCAGUUUUUGGCUAGGCAGUAGGAAUGCUUUCCCAAAUGGGAGAAGGGUAGUCAAGGUCACCUCAGGGAGUCCUGGGCUCCCCUUUGCUGAUGGUUUUCAGACAGAAGCCAGAUAACGAUGAUCUCCACGGAACCUUCCCGCUCUAAAAUGCCAUGAUUCUGCUGUGAUCCUCACAUUGAGCGUGCAAGGGAUCUGCAAGUGCCCCCCUGACACCCAGACUGCUUCUAUUUGCCCCUCAAGCUGACUGCAGUUAUGAGGAAGCAAAUUUAGGCUAAGCAUGGAGAAUAAUUUCCCACGGGAGAGAUGUCUUGCAGAGGCACACAGCCCUAGGCACACACAACCACCCCAAGUACAGAUAUACGUAGUAUAGAGCCACAUGCACACACACACGCACACACACACACACACCUGUGAACACUUGGUUGUGCCAAUAAUUAGUAAAGAGGGACCAGUGAGGAAUGGAUUGUUUUUCUGGUUGGCUCCCUUCCCUUGUCCUUCAGUUAGCUGGGAAUGAUGGAAGUGAGAGUCCAACAUCCGGCACCAACUUUGAGAAUCUGUUGGCUUCCCAGAGGCAUCCAUUGAGCCACUAUGGGGAAACAGCAUGCUGGAUUAGAUAGGCCUUGGGCCUGAUCCAGCAGGGCUGUUAGGUUCUUAACAGUCAGGUAUGAUGGGAGUUGUAGUCCAACCUCUAUUUCCAGUCAUUCUCUUUAGCCUGACCUACUUUACAGGUCUAUUGUGAGGAUAAAGGAAUUGUAUACUCAGAUGUCCGGGCAGGAAGGGCAGAUAUAAAUUCCAGAAGCCCGGGUUUCUUCAAAUUGGGUCCCCAGACGUUUUGGGACUAGAAUUCCCAUUGUCCUCGGCUACAAAGCCUUGCAGGGGUAUUGCAUGUCCUGUUGAUAAAAGGGGAAUCAUGGCAUGUUUGGAUUGGAAGCGUCCUUGUAAGAGCCCAGAAAAGUCAGAUGUGCUGAGACUUCCCAGUGAUUACUGCUGGGCAAUCACUGUGUUGGUUUGCAUGGGUUUAUGCUAAUAUAUAUCCUUUCAUAUACAAAUGAAGCUUCCUCCCAGAUGUUGCUUUUUGCCCUGAAGCGAUACAAUUCAAAUGUUAGUAGUCACUGAGUUAGUCUUUGGGUGAGAAUGUCCUCAAGCCAGAUUCAUUCUUUUAACAAUUCUAAUCUGCUGUACAGGAAGAAGAUAUGUGUGGGGGGGUCAUCUUGGAGAAGAUGGUUUUCCAGGAGACCCUGGCAAUGGAUUUGGGAAUGUCCUCCAGAGGUCUUCAUUGUAGGCAUGUCAGGGGAACAGAGAGGCAAGGCCGAAGUGAUUGGCCACAUCCUAGUUCCAAGAAAAGGGAGCAGAGACUGGGAAGCUGGGAUUGCAGCUCUGAGGAGUUGUGUGCAGGGCUGGAGCAGGAGGAGAGCUGGGCCACGCCUGGAUGGAUGGGGAACUUGGGAGGAAAGUGUAGGAGUGGAGGUGGGGAAUCCUACUGGAUUCCAUGGCGCAUUGGUGCUCAGCUUAUAUUGAUGAAUAACAAAUAUUUUAAAGUUGAUGUUUAUGCUUUAUUUAAAAAUGAUUUCUAUAUUUUAUAUUGAAAGCACUCUUGGUUAAAAACCAACAAACUGCAGGGUUGUGUACAGCCCAUCAGAUCCCUCUGCUAACUUGCUUUCUCCCACAAUGAGCUCAAGAGUACUUUCCAAAGAGAUCUGUUUCCAGAGAGCUCACGUUUGCAUGUUGCUACUGCUUCCUUGCUGUAGCUGCCUUUUAAAAAUGGGGCUGGGAAGGGAUAGCUAUUCACAGCAAUUAGCCAAGAAGAUAAGGAUGGCCCACCUGAAGCUCAGCAGCUACUGUUGGACUAGAAGAGCAUCAUCCCCAGCUGCUCUGUGGAGCUCCCAUCACCAUCAUCAAAAAACGGCGGCCGCGCGUUCCAGGAGGACCGGCCGCGCGUUCCAGGAGGACCGGCCGCGCGUUCCAGGAGGACCGGCCGCGCGUUCCAGGAGGACCGGCCGCGCGUUCCAGGAGGACCGGCCGCGCGUUCCAGGAGG